AUAUAACUAGGCGGAGGAAAAGAAACUAACAAGGAUUCCCUCAGUAACGGCGAGUGAAGCGGGACAAGCUCAGACGUAAAAUCUUCGGAAAUGUCGUCUGGAGAAGCUAGAUGAAGCAGUUAGGGUGGGUGAAGUCUUCUGGAACGAAGCGCCUCUGAGGGUGACAGCCCCGUUCAUGCCUACCUGAAACGCCUAAUUCAGCUUUCAACGAGUCGAGUUGUUUGGGAUUGCAGCUCUAAGUGGGUGGUAAAUUCCAUCUAAAGCUAAAUAUUGGUGGGAGACCGAUAGCGCACAAGUA
rnacentral:rRNA from 1 species